AUAUACUAAAAAAACACACACAAUUAGAAUGAUAUAGAGAGGAUUAGCAUGGCCCCUGCGAAAGAAUGACACGCAAAUUCAUGAAGCGUUCCAUUAAAAA
rnacentral:snRNA from 1 species